CUUUAGAGAUAUAAAACAUUUGAAUUGUUUGUUUAUAGAUUAGAGAAAGAGCGAGAGCUAGAUAGAUUUUGGAGGGGAUUUGUUGGAUUAACUCAUUUUUUCUCGGUUCCAAACCCUAAGUCUGUCGAUGAGUCUCUCUGCUGGAUUCAUUUUUCAAUCUCAUUGAUGAACUGGUAAACGCUUCUGAUCUAUCCAAUACCGAAAUUCCUUCCUCUCAGGAAGUUGGUCUUGCUUGGGGUGUUAAGAAUGAUCUCAAAUAGCUGCAGAACACCUUCAAAAUGAUUGUAGCAGUGAUAGAUGAUGCUGAAAAGAAGCAACUAAGAUAGAGCUCCGUGCGAUUGUGGCUAAAGCAGCUUAGCGAUGCUGCUGAUGAUGUGCUGGACUAGUUAUAAUAUUAAGUCAUGCGGAGAAAUGAAUUGAUCAGAAAGAGGUUUAAAGUUGGCAUAUCCUUACCACGGUUGUAACUCUUGAUGGUACAUGGAAAUCCCUUGUAGAAUUAUUUUUCAAGGGAUUCCCUAUAUACAUGAUCCACAUUGGGAUAUUCUGAUAGUCGGGGGCAUCUGAUGAUGUUUGUUCUAAGCUAGGGAUUGGUGAAGAAGAAGAAGUAGGAAUUACUCAAGAUGUGCAACAGACGACAUGGAAAAUCGUUGAUUUAGGCGAGUUCAUCUUUUUUUUUCCUUUAUUGUAGCUAGGUUAACUAGGGUGUACGAAGAUGUGCACUUUGAGAAAAUGGUGCAUAAUUGGUUAUGGAGAUUCUUGAUAAUGUUUUCACUUACAUUAUCUUGUGGAUACUCAAAUGAUUGUUGCCUUGUUGGUGAGAGUAACCUAUGUCACAUAUCUAUAUACAUGUUGGUUACAUGCA